CAGUGACCAGACAUAUCCCU
rnacentral:miRNA from 2 species